rnacentral:rRNA from 1 species
GACGAACGCUGGAGGCGUGCUUAACACAUGCAAGUCGAACGAUGAAAUGGAGCUUGCUCCAUGGAUUAGUGGCGAACGGGUGAGUAACACGUGAAUAACCUGCCCUUAAUUUUGGAAUAACCCAGGGAAACCUGGGCUAAUACCGGAUAAGUAAACCUGUGGCAUCACAUGGUUUUGGAAAGUUUUUCGAUUAAGGAUGGAUUCGCGGCCUAUCAGCUUGUUGGUGAGGUAAUGGCUCACCAAGGCGACGACGGGUAGCCGGCCUGAGAGGGUGAACGGCCACACUGUGACUGAGACACGGCCCAGACUCCAACGGGAGGCAGCAGUGGGGAAUAUUGCGCAAUGGACGAAAGUCUGACGCAGCGACGCCUCGUGAGGGACGAAGGUCUUCGGAUUGUAAACCUCUUUCAGCAGGGACGAAGCGAAAGUGACGGUACCUGCAGAAGAAGCACCGGCUAACUAUGUGCCAGCCGCCGCAGUAA